rnacentral:rRNA from 1 species
CCCUUAGAUGUUCUGGGCCGCACGCGCGCUACACUGACGAAUGCAACGAGCUUAUAACCUUGGCCGAAAGGUCUGGGUAAUCUCCAAAUUUCGUCGUGAUGGGGAUAGAUUAUUGCAAUUAUUAAUCUUCAACGAGGAAUGCCUAGUAAGCGCAAGUCAUCAGCUUGCGUUGAUUACGUCCCUGCCCUUUGUACACACCGCCCGUCGCUCCUACCGAUUGAAUGUUUUAGUGAGGCAUUUGGACCGACGCAUCUCAGUUUAACCGCUGGUUUGUGUUGGAAAGACUUCCAAACUUGAGCGUUUAGAGGAAGUAAAAGUCGUAACA